UACGUAGGGGGCUAGCGUUGUCCGGAAUCAUUGGGCGUAAAGCGCGCGUAGGCGGCCCGGUAAGUCCGCUCUGAAAUUCCAGGGCUCAACCCUGGACCUGCAUUCGAUACGGGCGGACUAGAGUGCGGUAGGGGAGACUGGAAUUCCUGGUGUAGCGGUGAAAUGCGCAGAUAUCAGGAGGAACACCGGUGGCGAAGGCGGGUCUCUGGGCCGUAACUGACGCUGAGGAGCGAAAGCAUGGGGAGCGAACAGG
rnacentral:rRNA from 1 species